AUUGAACGCUGGCGGCAGGCCUAACACAUGCAAGUCGAACGAGUGGCGGACGGGUGAGUAAUGUCUGGGAAACUGCCUGAUGGAGGGGGAUAACUACUGGAAACGGUAGCUAAUAACGCAUACCAUCGGAUGUGCCCAGAUGGGAUGAGGGAGUAGGUGGGGUAACGGCUCACCUAGGCGACGAUCCCUAGCUGGUCUGAGAGGAUGACCAGCCACACUGGAACUGAGACACGGCCCAGACUCCUACGGGAGGCAGCAGUGGGGAAUAUUGCACAAUGGGCGCAAGCCUGAUGCAGCAAGGCCGCGUGUAUGAAGAAGGCCUUCGGGUUGUAAAGUACUUUCAGCGGGGAGGCGUUACCCGCAGAAGAAGCACCGGCUAACUCCGUGCCAGCAGCCGCGGUAAUUC
rnacentral:rRNA from 1 species